GAUGAACGCUGGCGGCGUGCUUAACACAUGCAAGUCGAACGGUGAACCCGGACCUUGCUCUGUGGGAUCAGUGGCGAACGGGUGAGUAACACGUGAGCAACCUGCCCCUGACUCUGGGAUAAGCGCUGGAAACGGCGUCUAAUACUGGAUAUGUGAUGUGACUGCAUGGUGGGCGUUGGGAAGGUUUUUGCGGUUGGGGAUGGGUGCGCGGCCUAUCAGCUUGUUGGUGGGGUAAUGGCUCCCCAAGGCGUCGACGGGUAGCCGGCCUGAGAGGGUGACCGGCCACACUGGGACUGAGAGACGGCCCAGACUCCUACGGGAGGCAGCAGUGGGGAAUAUUGCACAAUGGGCGGAAGCCUGAUGCAGCAACGCCGCGUGAGGGAUGACGGCCUUCGGGUUGUAAACCUCUUUUAGCUGGGAAGAAGCGAGAGUGACGGUACCUGCAGAAAAAGCGCCGGCUAACUACGUG
rnacentral:rRNA from 1 species